rnacentral:rRNA from 1 species
UGAUAUUUAUAGCGCAGUAGAUCCACUCCGAUCCAUCCCGAACUCGGUUGUUAAAUGCUGCAGCGGCAAUAAUACUUAAAGGGUAGCCUUUUGGGAAAGUAGCUCAAUGUCAGAACU